rnacentral:rRNA from 1 species
AUUGAACGCUAGCGGGAUGCUUUACACAUGCAAGUCGAACGGCAGCGCGGACUUCGGGCUGGCUGCGAGUGGCGAAAGGGUGAGUAAUGUAUGGGAACGUCCCCAGCAGCGGUGGAGAAUUACGUGAAAGCGUUGCUGAUACCGCAUAAGCCCUACGGGGGCAACCAGGGGGUCGUAAGACCUUGCACUCUUGGAGCGGUCGAUGUCGGGGUUGCUAGUUGGUGAGGUAAGGGCUCACCAAGGCGACGAUCCGUAGCUGGUUUGAGAGGGCGGGAAGCCACACUGGAACGUAGCCACGGCCCAGACUCCUACGGGAGGCAGCAGUGGGGAAUUUUGGACAAUGGGGGCAACCCUGGUCCAGCCAUCCCGCGUGUGCGAUGAAGGCCUUCGGGUUGUAAAGCACUUUUGCCGGGAAAGAAACGUCGCGGGCUAAUACCACGUGGAACUGACGGUACCUGCAGAAUAAGCACCGGCUAACUACGUG